AUUACCGAGUUAUACAACUCAUCAACCCUGUGAACAUACCUAUAACGUUGCCUCGGCGGGAACAGACGGCCCCGUAACACGGGCCGCCCCCGCCAGAGGACCCCCUAACUCUGUUUCUAUAAUGUUUCUUCUGAGUAAACAAGCAAAUAAAUUAAAACUUUCAACAACGGAUCUCUUGGCUCUGGCAUCGAUGAAGAACGCAGCGAAAUGCGAUAAGUAAUGUGAAUUGCAGAAUUCAGUGAAUCAUCGAAUCUUUGAACGCACAUUGCGCCCGCCAGUAUUCUGGCGGGCAUGCCUGUUCGAGCGUCAUUACAACCCUCAGGCCCCCGGGCCUGGCGUUGGGGAUCGGCGGAAGCCCCCUGCGGGCACAACGCCGUCCCCCAAAUACAGUGGCGGUCCCGCCGCAGCUUCCAUUGCGUAGUAGCUAACACCUCGCAACUGGAGAGCGGCGCGGCCACGCCGUAAAACACCCAACUUCUGAAUGUU
rnacentral:rRNA from 1 species